UCUUCUUGAUAAUAUUUUUGAAGUCUGGUCUGCUCACUGAUAAAUUUAAAGAGCUGCGGUAUUUUGACCGUGCAAAGGUAGCAUAAUCAUUAGUUUCUUAAUUGGAAGCUGGUAUGAAUGGCUUGACGAGAAAUCAUCUGUCUCUUAAUAAUUUUUUGAAUUUAACUUUUAAGUUAAAAGGCUUAAAUUUUUCUUUAGGACGAGAAGACCCUAUAGAGCUUAACAUUUAUUUUUAUAGAUUUUUUGUAGUUCUUUUUUUAUAAAUUUAUAAUGUUUUGUUGGGGUGACAUAAAGGAUAAAUAAACUCUUUAUUAUAAAUUCAUUAAUUUAUGUUUAUUUUGAUCCAUAAUUUAUGAUCAUAAGAUUAAGUUACCUUAGGGAUAACAGCGUAAUUGGUUUGGAGAGCUCAUAUCGAUAAAUUAGAUUGCGACCUCGAUGUUGGAUUAAGAUAAGUUUUUGGUGUAGUAGCUAAAUGACUAGUCUGU
rnacentral:rRNA from 1 species